UGGGGAAUUUUGGACAAUGGGCGCAAGCCUGAUCCAGCCAUGCCGCGUGCAGGAAGAAGGCCUUCGGGUUGUAAACUGCUUUUGUCAGGGAAGAAAUCUUCUGGGCUAAUACCCCGGGAGGAUGACGUACC
rnacentral:rRNA from 1 species